CGGGGAGGUAGUGACGAAAAAUAACGAUACGGGACUCAUCCGAGGCCCCGUAAUCGGAAUGAGUACACUUUAAAUCCUUUAACAAGGAUCCAUUGGAGGGCAAGUCUGGUGCCAGCAGCCGCGGUAAUUCCAGCUCCAAUAGCGUAUAUUAAAGUUGUUGCGGUUAAAAAGCUCGUAGUUGAAUCUGUGUGUCACAGUGUCGGUUCACCGCUCGCGGUGUUUAACUGGCAUUAUGUGAUACGUCCUACCGGUGGGUCGCUCCUACCAUAGGGCGACCCAACUAAUCUCCCAUCGCGGUGCUCUUUACUGAGUGUCGAGGUGGGCCGGUACGUUUACUUUGAACAAAUUAGAGUGCUCAAAGCAGGCUACCUUCGCCUGAAUACUGUGUGCAUGGAAUAAUGGAAUAGGGCCUCGGUUCUAUUUUGUUGGUUUUCGGAACUCCGAGGUAAUGAUUAAUAGGGAUAGAUGGGGGCAUUCGUAUUGCGACGUUAGAGGUGAAAUUCUUGGAUCGUCGCAAGACGGACAGAAGCGAAAGCAUUUGCCAAAAAUGUUUUCAUUAAUCAAGAACGAAAGUUAGAGGUUCGAAGGCGAUCAGAUACCGCCCUAGUUCUAACCAUAAACGAUGCCAGCUAGCGAUCCGCCGAAGUUCCUCCGAUGACUCGGCGGGCAGCUUCCGGGAAACCAAAGCUUUUGGGUUCCGGGGGAAGUAUGGUUGCAAAGCUGAAACUUAAAGGAAUUGACGGAAGGGCACCACCAGGAGUGGAGCCUGCGGCUUAAUUUGACUC
rnacentral:rRNA from 1 species